rnacentral:rRNA from 1 species
CAGCAGCCGCGGUAAUGCGUAGGGUGCAAGCGUUAAUCGGAAUUACUGGGCGUAAAGCGUGCGCAGGCGGUCCUAUAAGACAGAUGUGAAAUCCCCGGGCUCAACCUGGGAACUGCAUUUGUGACUGUAGAGCUCGAGUACGGUAGAGGGGGAUGGAAUUCCGCGUGUAGCAGUGAAAUGCGUAGAUAUGCGGAGGAACACCGAUGGCGAAGGCAAUCCCCUGGACCUGUACUGACGCUCAUGCACAAAAGCGUGGGGAGCAAACAGGAUUAGAGACCCCUGUAGUCCCUGUCUCUUAUAC